rnacentral:misc_RNA from 1 species
UCUCCGUUGGUGAACCAGCGGAGGGAUCAUUACUGCGAUAAGAAUGCUGGCUCGCCGUCCCCCCCGGGGGGCGGUGGCCGCCUUCCAUCCAGCACACCUGUUGUCUUACCGCCUGCCGGGCCGUGUUGCCUCGGCGGGGUGCGCCCUCCGUCCUCCGGGCCGGCGUCCGUGCCCCGCCGAAGGUACCGCCCACCAAACUCUUGUAUAUCAUAUGGACCUUCUGAGAAAGCUUAUAAAUAAGUCAAAACUUUCAACAACGGAUCUCUUGGUUAUGGCAUCGAUGAAGAACGCAGC